GUCUAAAUAGUUUAUGGAAAAUAUGAACUUGUGGAGUUUAAGAUAUAAUAUGUUUUAUUUUAGGCA
rnacentral:tRNA from 1 species